GGAAUUUUGGGCAAUGGGCGAAAGCCUGACCCAGCAACGCCGCGUGAAGGAUGAAGUAUUUCGGUAUGUAAACUUCGUAAGAAUAGGAAGAAUAAAUGACGGUACUAUUUGUAAGGUCCGGCUAACUACGUGCCAGCAGCCGCGGUAAUACGUAGGGACCAAGCGUUGUUCGGAUUUACUGGGCGUAAAGGGCGCGUAGGCGGCGUGGUAAGUCAGCUGUGAAAUCUCCGAGCUUAACUCGGAACGGUCAGCUGAUACUGCUGUGCUAGAGUACAGAAAGGGCAAUCGGAAUUCUUGGUGUAGCGGUGAAAUGCGUAGAUAUCAAGAGGAACACCUGAGGCGAAGGCGGGUUGCUAAGCUGAUACUGACGCUGAGGCGCGAAAGCUAGGGUAGCAAA
rnacentral:rRNA from 1 species